AAUUGAGCAAAUUCAAUUAUCGGGUCAAUUCCAAACAGUAUAUAAGUUAACCCCCUGGCCCCUUCUUCAUCAGUACCGUUUUCUGUUCCCUCAAGCUUUUAGCCAUGGAUUACCCUAAAACAGCAGUUCCUACUAACAUCUUCACUGAACGCGGCUCCAAUAUCGUCGUCAUCAAUCCAGGUUCCGCAAAUAUUAGAAUAGGAUUGGCUCAACAUGACACUCCAUUCAAUAUACCUCAUUGCAUUUCCCGUCGCACUAGUCAGUUACCGAAACGAAAUGCUCAAGAUCAAAUGCUGAAUUCUCAGGUUACAACUGCACAGCAUAUGGAACGGGAAAGAGCGUAUGACAUUGUUGCGUCGCUAUUGAGAAUUCCAUUUUUGGAUGAGGAGGUAGCUAACAGUUCUUAUCCACGCAAGAUGGGGAGUGUAGACGCAUAUCCUCCGCAAAAUAACAUGAAAGAGCCAGUGUUCACUUGGACCGAUGUUUUCGAGAAAAAUGUCCCUCAUUCUUCAACAACAGCAGAAGAAGAUGUACCCAACGAGGGCAAUACCAGCGAGUCGCCCACUCUGAAGGAAAGCAAGAUUAAGGAUGAACCUAAUUCCAGUGAACGUAAAUAUAGAGAGUACAUAUGUGGAGAGGAAGCUUUAAGAAUACCCCCAACUGAACCAUAUUGCUUGCGGCGUCCUAUACGCCGAGGUCAUUUGAAUGUAUCUCAAUAUUACCCGACGCAGCAGGUUCUCGAAGACCUGCAUACUAUAUGGGAGUGGAUUUUGGUUGAGAAAUUGCAUAUUCCUCAUCGUGAGAGAAACAUGUAUUCUGCAAUCCUUGUUAUUCCAGAGACAUUUGACAAUCGUGAAAUCAAGGAAAUGCUAUCUAUCGUGUUGUGUGACUUACGCUUUGGUUCAGCAGUAGUCCACCAGGAAGGUCUUGCUGCAGUUUUUGGAAAUGGUUUAUCAACAGCAUGCAUUGUCAACAUGGGAGCUCAAGUGACAUCUGUUAUCUGUGUUGAGGAUGGAGUGGUUCUACCCACAACACAGAUAUCUUUACGGUUUGGUGGAGAGGAUGUAUCAAGAUGCCUUCUCUGGACUCAGAGGCAUCAUCAAACAUGGCCACCUAUUCGGACUGAUGCCCUGUCAAAGCCUGUAGAUUUGCUGAUGCUUAACAGACUUAAGGAGUCCUACUGUCAGAUCAAAGAGGGGGAAGUAGAAGCUGUUGCUAUGGUACAUUCAUAUGAAGAUGGAAUGCAACCUGGAUCUCAUAAGACUAGGCUGACUGCUCUUAAUGUUCCCCCGAUGGGUUUAUUUUACCCAAUGCUUUUGGUUCCAGAUGUCUAUCCUCCGCCACCCCGCUCUUGGUUUAACGAUUAUGAUGAUAUGCUUGAGGACACAUGGCACAUGGACUUCCCUGGUGGUGGUGCAUAUCCGAUGUGGGAGAGCUACCCAGUUUUCCAAACAAAGCCAAAGAAAGAAGAUAUUAUUGGCCUUGCUGAAGCUAUUACAAAGAGCAUUCUUUUGACAGGGCGUAUUGAGUUACAGAGAAAGUUGUUUUGCAGCAUGCAACUGAUUGGUGGAGCUGCAUCGAUUUAUGGUCUCAUUCCUGCUGUGGAGGAAAGAGUUUUACAUGCAAUCCCUUCACAUGAAGCAAUUGACACUGUGGAGGUCUUGCAAUCGAGAACAAAUCCAGCAUUUGUGUCGUGGAAAGGCGGAGCAGUAAGUAGACACUACUUUUAUUAGAGAUCCUCGGAAUUCUUGAUAUUAGUAGGGAGGCCUGGAUUCAUCGUGAGGACUGGAUUAAAAAUGGAAUUCACAUUGGCAGUGGGAGAAAGUACAAGGAUUCAUGUUAUCUUCAAGCACAGGCAAUGUGCUAUCUGAAUUCAUAAGAGCUUUCUGCUGGGUUAUGAGAUUUGAUACUGAUCGAAACUGGAGCUUGCUAGCUUAUCUUGAAGACGAAAGAACUGUAAGCCUCACUCCUCCCUCUGGACUCAUAUGGUAGCCCUUGUGAACGACGAUUCGAUAAUCCUGAAACCUGAAAAAUUAUUCAAGAAUUAUCACUGAGCAAGGCCAAUCUGAAGUACAUCCUAAUUUCUAGAAAACUUAAGUCACCGUAUAGGGUUAUACUAAUCUUGCUAUUCUAACUUAUUUAAGACGAUUUUAUUCUCAAGCUUAUCGGAAUUUUCAUAGAAUUGGUUUGCUAGCUGACCCUCGAUGUGAAUAAUUAACUUGGGAGGAAUUUAAUUAGUCAAAUA